GGAGGUUUAGCUCAGUGGCAUAAGCAUCUGCCUUGUAAGCAGGCAGUCGUGAGUUCAAUCCUCCUUACCAAUA
rfam:Cavia porcellus supercont2_20 genomic scaffold, whole genome shotgun sequence.